ensembl:lncRNA
CAGUGAAAGGGUUUUGUUGUUUUUGUUUUUUUUUUUUUGCCAGAGUACCAUGGAACUUAAGAUUUUUUCAAGUGCAUCCAGAUAUGUUUAUCAGCAUCCUGAUGUCUCCAUUCUAGUAGUAUUUUUAUUACUAAAUUAUUUUCACCUGACACACACUGUAGACAAAUUAAUUUUGCUCCUUGUAAAUCUUGUGUGCACAUUCUAUGUAUACACUGAGAGAGCAAUAAAUACAAUUGCAAUACACAAGUUUAUACUGUACAAAAACAAAGAAAGGCAGCGGCAACCCUCUGGAAUUGGUAACAAUAUCCAUUUCAGUUCUAAAACUUGUGCUGUAGAGCAGCUGAAAUAAAUUUAGGUUUCAAAAUAUUGUCCUGUUUAGGGAGCUUGAGGGAAAGAAUCAAAAGAAAUGGUGUUUAUCUUACUGGUUCUCCAUGAUUUUUGACAAAUUUAUGAUUAAAUUCCAGAUGGAAAUUAAUUUGGGUCAAAAGUGGCAUCACUAAUUGAAAAACUACCCGAAGAUUUCAUUGCACUCAGCUGUGCAUUUGGGGUUGAGUCAGUCCAUUCCAGAAGCAUUGAAAAUAUCUGUAGCCCCUUAAGAUCUUGGAACCUUCUAUUUCCCCGGGCCCCAGGGUCUCAUUUUGAGUAGAUGUUCAAUAAUAUGCUUUCUGAUAAAAUACAGAGAAAUAUGCCAAGAUACCAUGAGGUAGAGAGAUGGUGUCAACAAAAAGAGAGACAUUCUUUCCUUACAAAUACUUUAGUUUAAUCUAAACCAAGGGACAGAGUUGCUCUGGGCUGGUCUCAGGAAUCCAGAUGGAUAAUACAACCUCAUGAAAGGAAAUUGUCGAAUCUAUCAAAUAGAAAGAGACCUCCUGGUGAAAUAACUUUAACAAAUACAUUACUAUUUUUCAUCCUGUUCAUACUAUUUUAAUCAUCAUCAUAGGACCAUUUUAUGCCUCUUAUUUUAGCUCUUAAGAAGCCAAGGACUGAUUUUUUUAGAAGCCAGUAAAUGCUUUCAGUUGAAUAAUACUUUGUCAGAUGGCCAAAGGGUUAUCCACAUGCAAAUUUUUGUUUUGAAUUAUAAAGAUGUUUCCAUCAAUUUAUACUACAGUCCUGUCCCCCAUUAAAAUAAAAAUUAAAAGUUAAAAUUCCCAUGAUUUACUAUUUUUUACUUGGUUGUAAAACCCAAAAUGUGUGAAAGGCUAAAAGGUCUAGCAAGUAAUUCUUGUUUUCUUCAUUUAAUUUUCUCUACUCUUUCCUCAUUGGAUAUAAUCCCCAGCAGCUCUGGAGAUUUGUAGUAUCAGGUAACAAAGCUGGGAUAAUGCAGCAGAGCACAAACCCAUGGCUGUUCCUAAAAAAGAGGAUAGAGAUGACCUCUGGAAGAAUAAUGCAAUUUAGUGCUGCUCCACUGGAUUUACUCCUGUUUGUGCUUGUUAGCAUUAGAAGGCAAAAAGCCAGACAGCAAGGAGAGAAAAAAAGUGCUAGAAAAGUCAAAUCAAGGUAAAUGCUCAGGAAGCUUGUAGUAAUUUUAAGACCUUCAUAUUAGAUUAGAAAAUCUGCAAGUUUACAAAUUAAUUGGCAUAAAUAUACAUACUGAAAUAAUUAUGAAUUAUAAUUAUAUUGAAGGCUAAUUACAGUAUCUCUUUCUUCUGUAAAUCAGGUGCUGAUCUUCUGUAAAUAACUCACUCUAGUGAAAUCUCAUGAACAACAUAUACUUAGUAUUUGUUAAUAUUCUACUGUUUAGACAGAGUACAGAUCAGAAUUUCAUCAUUCCCAGUAAUUUUUUCCCUCUCCUUCCUUCCUUCUUUUCUUCUCUUUUUUUUCCUUUUCUUUUGUUUUUCUUUCCACUUCACACUGGAGCUUUUCCUCACUGGGUCGAGGGGGCUCUCCCAGGAUUUUAGUCCCUCUGGUUGCUGUGCCACUGAGAUGCUGGAUAGAGAAAUUCCAUUGAGUCAACUGAGGAAAUUCCACAUCCAUGGGAAUGUCACUGUCAAGCCCAGGGCUGCGGAGUGAUGGGGAGAGAAUGGAGUGCAGACUGAAGCAGGACUUUCCUGCCCUCCUGGUCCUGCCACUGUAGCCACAAAAGAGCUCAAGAUGUCGCCUUUGCUUUAAAGGAAACCAUCCAGUGCUUGGAUUUAUCCUAGCCUGGGAUACAACUCCCCUUGGGCUUGGAAUUACCUCAAGUGAUUUACAGCUCCUGCUGAAAGGCUCCAUUAUAUUCCCAGGCUUUGUUAGUGGCAUGGGCUGGAUGAUUUAGGAUGGAGGCUAUCAGAGGUUAUUGUGUUGUCUGGAUAACGUGAGGAGAUUUCUGCUUGUGUUUCCCACUCAUGUAGUUUUCUCAACCUUUUAUCUGCAGGGCACAUAGACUGAGCUUUCAGGAAAGAAAGAAGCAGGAAAUCUAUAGUGGCAACCUGCCCUCUGGCCAGCGUGCUGCUAGCAGUCCAAAUUGGAGUGGCUGCAGUCCUCUUGGGAUGGCAGAUAUGGUUGCUGUGUUUUCUCGGAAACCUGUGGAA